CACUGAGAGCCUCUCGGGGCCCCAAGACUCCAGGAAGAAACAAGUAUUGUAGAAGCCAAAACCCCAAGGCAAGAAACACAAGUGAAACUUGCUCACGUGGUUUGCAGUCACUGAACGUAGAUCAGCUCCUGUGAAAACAAACUCCAUGGAUCAUGAAACUGAAAUCCUGCACCCACUUAAAUCCUGUACCAACAGACGCCUCUGUCUUCUGAAGUGUCAGGAAGUGAGUAAAGAAAAAAGAAAGUAAAGAAAGCAAAGUCAAUGGAGCAGUAAAAAGAAUCAAUUAUUCAAUUGAUCAAUUCAGGAAACUUGAAAUAAUUUUCCUUUUCGGGAUCGAGGAACUAGAAGACAAGAAUUCCUGCCUGAGAAAG